rnacentral:sRNA from 1 species
CUGACUUUUUUAUUGGAAAAUUUUUAACACAGA